rnacentral:rRNA from 1 species
UACGUAGGCGGAAAAUUAAGUCAGUAGUGAAAUCCUGCAGCUUAACUGUAGAACUGUUAUUGAUACUGGUUUUCUUGAAUAUAGUUGAGGUAGGCGGAAUGUGUAAUGUAGCGGUGAAAUGCUUAGAUAUUACACAGAACACCGAUUGCGAAGGUAGCUUACUAAGCUAUGAUUGACGCUGAGGUACGAAAGCGUGGGGAGCGAACAGGAUUAGAUACCCUGGUAGUCC